rnacentral:sRNA from 1 species
AGCACCACGAUGGGGCAGUAGCCCACGGGU